rnacentral:tRNA from 1 species
GCCCGGGUAGUCUAAUGGUUAGGAUGGAAGACUGUGGAUCUUCAGACCCGAGUUCAAUUCCCGGCCCGGGCCCCA